UUGCUUCAGAAGCACAUAUUGUAAAAUUGCAAUGAUACAGAGAAAAUUAACAUGGCCCUUUCACAAGGAUGAUUCCAUGAAGCAUUCCAUAUUUAA
ensembl:snRNA U6 U6 spliceosomal RNA